UACGUAGGGGGCGAGCGUUGUCCGGAUUCAUUGGGCGUAAAGAGCUCGUAGGCGGCUUGGUAAGUCGGGUGUGAAACCUCCAGGCUCAACCUGGAGACGCCACUCGAUACUGCCAUGGCUAGAGUCCGGUAGGGGCCCACGGAAUUCCUGGUGUAGCGGUGAAAUGCGCAGAUAUCAGGAGGAACACCAAUGGCGAAGGCAGCUCGCUGGGACGGUACUGACGCUGAGACGCGAAAGCGUGGGGAGCAAACAGG
rnacentral:rRNA from 1 species